AAUGAACGUUGGCGGCGUGGAUUAGGCAUGCAAGUCGUGCGAGAAGGUGGCUUCGGCCACCGGACAGCGGCGAACGGGGUAGUAAGGCGUCGGGACGUGCCCACGGGCCCGGGAUAGCGGCGGGAAACUGCCGGUAAUACCGGAUGACCUCUCCGGAGCAAAGGUGUGACUCCGCCCGUGGAGCGGCCGACGUGGUACCAGGUAGUUGGUGAGGUAACGGCUCACCAAGCCGAAGACGCCUAGGGGGUGUGAGAGCAUGGCCCCCACCACUGGGACUGGGACACUGCCCAGACACCUACGGGUGGCUGCAGUCGAGAAUCUUCGGCAAUGGGCGCAAGCCUGACUGAGCGACGCCACGUGCGGGAUGACGGCCCUCGGGUUGUAAACCGCUGUCGGGGGGGAUGAAGUCACGAAGGGUACUCCCUUCGUGUUGACAGAGCCCCGGAGGAAGCGCGGGCUAAGUACGUGCCAGCAGCCGCCGCCG
rnacentral:rRNA from 1 species